rnacentral:rRNA from 1 species
GUAAUCUCAAGAAGUGUUUUCCGCUUCGGACCAAGCCUAAGUCCCUUGGAAAAGGGCAUCAUAGAGGGUGAUAAUCCCGUACAUGGCUUGGAGCGCCCGAAGCUUUGUGAUACGCUUUCUAAGAGUCGAGUUGUUUGGGAAUGCAGCUCAAAAUGGGUGGUAAAUGCCAUCUAAGGCUAAAUAUUGGGGAGAGACCGAUAGCGAACAAGUACAGUGAUGGAAAGAUGAAAAGAACUUUGAAAAGAGAGUUAAACAGUACGUGAAAUUGCCAAAAGGGAAGGGUAGGAGGUCAGAGAUGCGGCCUGGGAUUCAGCCUUGCUUUUGCUUGGUGUUUUUCCCAGAUUGCAGGCCAACGUCGGUUUUGGGCACUGGAGAAGGGUAGGAGGAACGUGGCACCUCUCGGGGUGUGUUAUAGCCUCCUACUGGAUACAGCGACCGAGACCGAGGACAGCAGCGUACUCGCAAGAGCGGGCCUUCGGGCACCUUUACGCUUAGGGCGUUGGCAUAAUGGCCCUCUACCACCCGUCU